GAGUUUGAUCUUGGCUCAGAUUGAACGCUGGCGGCAUGCCUUACACAUGCAAGUCGAACGGCAGCACGGGAGCUUGCUCCUGGUGGCGAGUGGCGAACGGGUGAGUAAUGCAUCGGAACGUAUCCUGGAGUGGGGGAUAACGUAGCGAAAGUUACGCUAAUACCGCAUAUUCUGUGAGCAGGAAAGCGGGGGACCUUCGGGCCUCGCGCUCUUGGAGCGGCCGACGUCGGAUUAGCUAGUUGGUGAGGUAAAGGCUCACCAAGGCGACGAUCCGUAGCAGGUCUGAGAGGAUGAUCUGCCACACUGGAACUGAGACACGGUCCAGACUCCUACGGGAGGCAGCAGUGGGGAAUUUUGGACAAUGGGGGCAACCCUGAUCCAGCCAUGCCGCGUGAGUGAAGAAGGCC
rnacentral:rRNA from 3 species